CCUUCGGCGGGCGAGCUCUGUUUCUCUAUCUAAGGCAGUCCUGCAGCAAGACCUGAAUUUGCAAGAUCAUGUGCGACUGCUUUCCAGCUGCAAGAGUCAUUGGCGAUGUGUCUGUACCACAUGAUGCAUAUUCCUGAACAAGGAGCAGCUGUGUGGAAAACCCUUAAGAGGUAUGUUUGAGGACCAGUGCAUCUGAAUGAUGGGGAGGCGAGACCUUUGGGUGCUGGGUGUGUUUCAGU